CAGUCGACGAGCAAUACAUUUGAUUUCUUCGGAAUGAAGAUGUAGGCGCGAGUGGCGGACGGGUGAGUAACGCGUGAGUAAUCUGCCUCAUACAGGAGAAUAACACUAAGAAAUUGGUGCUAAUACUCCAUAAGCUCACAUUAUGACAUCAUAGAGUGAGAAAAGAUUUAUCGGUAUGAGAGGAGCUCGCGUCUGAUUAGCUAGUUGGUGGGGUAACGGCCUACCAAGGCGACGAUCAGUAGCCGACCUGAGAGGGUGAUCGGCCACAUUGGAACUGAGACACGGUCCAAACUCCUACGGGAGGCAGCAGUGGGGAAUAUUGCACAAUGGGGGAAACCCUGAUGCAGCAACGCCGCGUGAAGGAAGAAGUAUUUCGGUAUGUAAACUUCUAUCGACAGGGAAGAAACAAAUGACGGUACCUGAAUAAGAAGCACCGGCUAAAUACGUGCCAGCAGCCGCGGUAAUACGUAUGGUGCAAGCGUUAUCCGGAUUUACUGGGUGUAAAGGGUGAGUAGGCGGUCAUGCAAGUCAUAUGUGAAAUGUCAGGGCUUAACCUUGGCGCUGCAUAAGAAACUGUAUGACUAGAGUGCAGGAGAGGUAAGCGGAAUUCCUAGUGUAGCGGUGAAAUGCGUAGAUAUUAGGAAGAACACCGGUGGCGAAGGCGGCUUACUGGACUGUUACUGACGCUGAGUCACGAAAGCGUGGGGAGCAAACAGGAUUAGAUACCCUGGUAGUCCACGCCGUAAACGAUGAGUGCUAGGUGUUGGC
rnacentral:rRNA from 1 species